CGGGUGAGUAAUGUCUGGGAAACUGCCCGAUGGAGGGGGAUAACUACUGGAAACGGUAGCUAAUACCGCAUAACGUCGCAAGACCAAAGAGGGGGACCUUCGGGCCUCUUGCCAUCGGAUGUGCCCAGAUGGGAUUAGCUAGUAGGUGGGGUAAUGGCUCACCUAGGCGACGAUCCCUAGCUGGUCUGAGAGGAUGAUCAGCCACACUGGAACUGAGACACGGUCCAG
rnacentral:rRNA from 1 species